UGUCAGGACAGCAGUCAGCCCUCCGCUAGGACCAAGGACAGAUUUUGUAAUCCCAGGCACCCGGCACAAGCGGGCGUCCGGGAAAGCGCAGUCGCGGUGAGCACAGGGCCGGCUCUAUAAAUCUCCAUUAGAUCAGACAGUGCUGCGGGUGGAGGGGCGGGGUUACCAGAAAUAGCUCCUUUCCUGCAAACUUCUCGAGACCACAGCUGCUACGUGGCCUGAACAGAGUGGGCGCCCCCGGUGGAGAGUGGAAGGCCAGAGAAGCGGUGUCUGUGCGCCCAGGCGGAGGCCACGGACGCCGAAAACUGCGCUUGAGCCGCUUCGAAAGGUUCUGACUUGGUGAAACUCGUGGAAGCAGAGUGCUGAGGUUCUUUCCCAGCACUCAAAUGGAAGAAGACGAGGACCUCACUUUCCUCCCAGCACUCCUCAUAAUGACGAUAAGGUGACAAGGAGGAUCCCACUGAAGUUAUCCAAAAUAUUUACAACCUGAGGCCCAGAUCACAAGGAAAGAAAUCAGACAACCCUCCCUCAUUGCUGCUGUCACAUUGACAACCAAUUUUCCAGCAAAUUUGGAUGAUCAAUCCAAGAAACAAUUCAAGAGGAAGAGAUCCUUAGAGAUGGAAUUUCAGAUGCCAGGAAUUUACACAUGCUUAUAAAGCAGCAUAUCAUUCUACGUAAUCACAAGAUGAUCACUAUCUUAAAAAGUCAUUUCCAAUAAAUCAGAUUGAUGUGGUACAGUGGACAGAGGGUCCCAAGACCUGGGCUGCACACCUGA